AGAACGAACGCUGGCGGCAGGCUUAACACAUGCAAGUCGAACGCCCCGCAAGGGGAGUGGCAGACGGGUGAGUAACGCGUGGGAACGUACCUUUCAGUUCGGAAUAACUCAGGGAAACUUGUGCUAAUACCGGAUACGCCCGCAAGGGGAAAGAUUUAUCGCUGAAAGAUCGGCCCGCGUUGGAUUAGCUAGUUGGUGGGGUAAAGGCCUACCAAGGCGACGAUCCAUAGCUGGUCUGAGAGGAUGAUCAGCCACACUGGGACUGAGACACGGCCCAGACUCCUACGGGAGGCAGCAGUGGGGAAUAUUGCACAAUGGACGAAAGUCUGAUGCAGCAACGCCGCGUGGAGGAUGACACAUUUCGGUGCGUAAACUCCUUUUAUAUAGGAAGAUAAUGACGGUACUAUAUGAAUAAGCACCGGCUAACUCCGUG
rnacentral:rRNA from 1 species